GAUGAAGAACGUAGCGAAAUGCGAUAAGUAAUGUGAAUUGCAGAAUUCAGUGAAUCAUCGAAUCUUUGAACGCACAUUGCGCCCGCCGGUAUUCCGGCGGGCAUGCCUGUUCGAGCGUCAUUUCAACCAUCAAGCCCCAGGCUUGUGUUGGGGACCUGCGGCUGCCGCAGGCCCUGAAAACCAGUGGCGGGCUCGCUGUCACACCGGGCGUAGUAGAUUUUAUCUCGCUCAGGGCGUGCUGCGGGUUCCGGCCGUUAAAAAGCCUUUUUUACCCAAGGUUGACCUCGGAUCAGGUAGGAAGACCCGCUGAACUUAAGCAUAUCAAUAAGCGGAGGA
rnacentral:misc_RNA from 1 species